UGAUUCUUAUUCUAUUCCAAGAAAUACGCAACGCACUCUAAGGUUGAAAGUACAAGAUUCAAGAAUCAAGCUAGGAUGAACUCUAGAAACCCACAUAACAUUUGAAUUAUUGUUGAACAAUAUGUUGUAAUGUUUGGAACUAUGUAUUUCACUUUAGAGUUUAUGAAAUGAAUUAAAUAAAUUAUUGUCACA